GACGAACGCUGGCGGCGUGCUUAACACAUGCAAGUCGAGCGGUAAGGCCCUUUCGGGGGUACGACGAGCGGCGAACGGGUGAGUAACACGUGGGUGACCUGCCCUCAGCUCUGGGAUAAGCCUGGGAAACCGGGUCUAAUACUGGAUAUGACUCCAUGACGCAUGUUGGUGGGGUGGAAAGCCUUGUGCGGCUGAGGAUGGGCCCGCGGCCUAUCAGCUUGUUGGUGGGGUGAGGCCUACCAAGGCGACGACGGGUAGCCGGCCUGAGAGGGCGACCGGCCACACUGGGACUGAGACACGGCCCAGACUCCUACGGGAGGCAGCAGGUGGGGAAUCUUGCGCAA
rnacentral:rRNA from 1 species